CGCCUCCCUGGACUGCGCGUUGCAGUCGCCGGUCUCUUUGUCCUGCGCGGUUGGGCGCACUGAUCCGCCGGUACUUUGUAGCGGGUUUCGGGCCGGACCCUGCCUGCGGCCGCAAGAGCCCCCUCGGGCCCACCUUGGUUCGAGAGCCUGUCUCCAGCGUCUGCCGACGUGCAGCGGUCUCAGUUCUAAGCACAGAUUGAAGACGACAGACGCAAACCACUGAAGCUGGGAUGCUCUCGUGCUGGUAUUUCAGUGGACUUACAGGUCUGUCUGGAAGUAUCCAGCCGUUAACAUCACUAGAACGGUUUGUCCCACAUCUGUGUAACCUGGCAGCCAAGGAGAGUGGACCGCAGUGCCUAUGCGUGAACAGUGACGCCUUCACUGUACUAGUCAGUGGGGUGCUAGACCCUUGAAUGAGCAUGUGCACUGUGUGGCCCUCAUAUUCAAAAUGACUGAACCAGUAGAGCAACGAGUCUGCAUCAAAUUUUGCGUUAAGCUUGAACGUUCCUCUGCGGAAACCGUUCGGAUGAUCCAGAAGGCCUUCGGGGACAAGGCAAUGAGUGCAGCAAAAAUAAAAGUGUGGCACAAACACUUCAAAGAUGUUCGGGAAUCUGUUGAAAGCGAUUCACUUUCUGAAAGGCCUGCUACAAGCAGAACACCUGAGAAUGUGGAACGUGAACUGUGUGAGGUCCC